rnacentral:rRNA from 1 species
AUUGAACGCUGGCGGCAGGCCUAACACAUGCAAGUCGAGCGAGCGGCGGACGGGUGAGUAAUGUCUUUGAAACUGCCUGAUGUAGGGGGAUAACUACUGGAAACGGUAGCUAAUACCGCAUACCAUCAGAUGUGCCCAGGUGGGAUUAGCUUGUAGGUGGGGUAACGGCUCACCUAGGCGACGAUCCCUAGCUGGUCUGAGAGGAUGACCAGCCACACUGGAACUGAGACACGGUCCAGACUCCUACGGGAGGCAGCAGUGGGGAAUAUUGCACAAUGGGCGCAAGCCUGAUGCAGCCAUGCCGCGUGUGUGAAGAAGGCCUUCGGGUUGUAAAGCACUUUCAGCGGGGAGGCGUUACCCGCAGAAGAAGCACCGGCUAACUCCGUGCCAGCAGCCGCGGUAAUUC